rnacentral:misc_RNA from 1 species
AAAACAUCUGGUGUUUGGAUAAGUAGUUGCUUGGAUAAUACACAAGAAUGAAGGGGUACGAAUUGGUUACAUGCUAAAAGUAUGUUUUAUAUUAUCGCCGAGAAUAUAGGACAUAUUAGUUGAUACCUCUGCAAAGAAUGCACAGAAAUGAGCUGGUAAAAUCCUGACUAAAACGGGAAAGGUACCAUCCCCUACUAUAUAAAUACGAUCAACAUCAAUGUUCAAGAUACGCAAUUCUAUUAUAUUCUUCUUCUUUUUGUUGA